GCUAAUAUAAUCAUGUCACGCCUUAGUGUCAUAUAUACACCAUUUUGUUACUGUGUACAUACAAACAUUUUACUUUCCAAACAAUGCUGUUGCAGAUUAAAGUUUCUUUAUUAACAGUAUUGUAUUUUUCUGGAAUUUUAUUCAUGGUAUUAUUUCCGCCGAGAAAUUUUGAACAGUCUGGUGCGAGAAAAAGAACAAUGAGAAGUAUCGGAGAUGAAAUAAAAUAUAAACAAUAUAUUAACUACGAGGCCUUGUUAACUGUAACUAAACGAAUAUCUUAUAGUGACUCUGAAAGCGCCCGCUUGUUGUAUUUAAAGCCAGUCACUUCUGAAAACAGAAGCAUUAUUGCUUUAGAAUUACAUAACGAUCUACAAAGCAAGAAACCGGGAAUACUCGUCAUUGCAGCACUCAAUGGCAUGGCGUGGGGAGCUCCGAAUGCAGUGAUCGAAUUGGCUGAAAAGUUACUUUAUGAUUCUAAUUACCAAACUCCAUUUUUUAAUGAUUACGAUUGGUAUUUGAUUCCAAUGGCGAACCCUGACGGUAUAGAUUUUACCCAAAAUCUGCGUACACGCCCUUCAUUUAGAGCUGACGAAUGGUCUAAAAAUGCGACAGUUAGGAACAUCACACGUCCAUCAAUCUGGCAUAAGAACAUAGACAAGAACAAUGAACAAGUAACAUGUUUCGGCACCAACAUUAACCGAAACUUCGCAUAUCACUGGCAAGACGAUGUGAACAAAACUCCAAAUGAAUGCUCACAGUAUUAUCCUGGGCAUAAGCCGUUUUCUUCAGUCGAAGCGCAGGCGAUUCGCAACUACGUCCAUAGUCUUGGAGACCUAAUACAUUUAACAAUACAUUUACAUGCCAGUUUUGUUCCUAAAAAGGAAUUUAUUUUGUAUCCUUGGCGUUACUCUCUUCGCCACCCGAGCAACUACCGCACUUUACAAGAUAUCGGCGAGUAUGCUGCGAGACAAUCACGUUUGCCCGACGGACGACUGUUUGAGGUACAUCAAAGUAGUAGUGACGAGCGCGUGGCUGGCACACUUAGCGACUAUAUCACCGGUGUGGUUGGGAUUGAUCUAGUAUUUUUAAUAAAACCGUAUCAUCAGAUUUAUCCUAACUAUACAGAUCAUACCAUUCUUGCUGUUUCAGUUGAUGAGUAAGAAUAGGCAGUGAAAUUACAACAAUAUAUGUGUAACAACUUGGAAUUUGAACGCUCAAAUGCUCAAAUUUGAGAUAGAGAGGUAUACGAAACGAAAGCAAUAUCAGCAAUUCUGAGCUUAGUUCGCGGUUGGAGAAGCAGCACUAAGCAAAAUACACUUUCA